GCCGAGGUGGCAGAGCGGACUAACGCGGCAGGCUCGAGACCUUCUGGUAAGCUAGGGUUCAAAUCCCUACCUCGGCG
rnacentral:tRNA from 1 species